UACGUAGGUGGCGAGCGUUGUCCGGAUUUACUGGGCGUAAAGCGCGCGCAGGCGGUCCGGUAAGUCUCCGGUGAAAUCGCCCGGCUCAACUGGGCGGGUGCCGGGGAGACUGGCGGACUUGAGGAGCCUAGAGGCCGGUGGAACUCCCGGUGUAGUGGUGAAAUGCGUAGAUAUCUGGAAGAACACCAAAGGCGAAGGCAGUGUCCUGGGUGGUCGCUGACGCUGAGAGGCGAAAGCCAGGGGAGCGAACGGG
rnacentral:rRNA from 1 species